AUCUACUGUCAUACCACACUGUUAACGCCCAAUACCGUCCGAUCUUGGAAGCUAAGCAGUGUUGGGCUUGGUUAGUACUUCGAUGGGCGACCUCCUAGGAAUACCAAGUGCAGUAGAAC